rnacentral:rRNA from 1 species
GACGAACGCUGGCGGCGUGCUUAACACAUGCCAGUCGAACGGAAAGGCCUGCUUUCCCUUGUGUGUUGCGGGUACUCGAGUGGCGAACGGGUGAGUAACACGUGAGUGAUCUGCCCCCAACUUGGGUAUAAGCCUGGGAAACUGGGUCUAAUUCCCGCUAGGACUGCAGGGUGGUGCCUGUGGUGGAAAACGAUUUUCUAGUGGUUGGGGAUGAGCUCGCGGCCUAUCAGCUUGUUGGUGGGGUAAUGGCCUACCAAGGCGGGGACGGGUAGGCGGCCUGGGGGUGGGGGGCGUGAGAGGGGGACCGGCAAACUGGCGAGAGUGCUACGGCAGGGAGCAGUGGGGAAGGUUGCAGAGGGGGCGGAAGCCCGAUGGAGGGACGCCGCGUGGGGGAUGACGGCGUUCGGGUUGUAGACUUCUGGCGUGCGAGAGGAAGCCGCCUGGGUGGAAGGGUGGUGAAGGUAGUGGGAGAAGAAGCACCGGCUAACUACGUG